UACGUAGGGGGCUAGCGUUGUCCGGAUUUAUUGGGCGUAAAGAGCGUGUAGGCGGCCAGAUAGGUCUGCUGUGAAAACUCGAGGCUCAACCUCGAGAUGUCGGCGGAAACCAUUUGGCUAGAGUCCGGAAGAGGAAAGUGGAAUUCCUGGUGUAGCGGUGAAAUGCGCAGAUAUCAGGAAGAACACCCGUGGCGAAGGCGGCUCUCUGGGACGGUACUGACGCUGAGACGCGAAAGCGUGGGGAGCGAACAGG
rnacentral:rRNA from 1 species